GAGUGGCCUCUCCGUGCGGCACAGAGGCAAGGUAAGUAGACACUGGGGUCCAGGGAGGGACCGAGCCCUGGCAGGCAUCUGGGCUGGGCUUGAAGGGUGAUACCCUAGGAAAACGAGUCAAGACAUCCAAACCUAACCUUCCUCCUGGCUAAUGGAGGCUAGUACCACAGAAAGGAAAGCUGGUAAAGACUGGGGGGGGGGGGUCCAUAAAAAGGAAGCAGGCGACAAGGAGACGUGCGUGCGUGGAAUUGGCCUCUUGCCCACCGGGUUUCACUCCUGCCUCCCGGGCACCCAGAGCAUCCAUCGGGAGCUGGAAGCAAGGGCUCUGCCCCAGGCCAGAGGCCCCUGAUCCCUCUCCCUUACCCAGCCCCUGUCAGCCCAGAGCUCAGUAAAUUAGUCAAUGAGAUUGGGGGUGGGAGGGUGGGGAGGGUCACAGUGCUACUGAUCCUAUUAAUCCGCCCCUCCCUUCGCUCCCCCAGACAUGGCCAACAUCUUAAUGCAGCGGAGGGAGGCUGGAAGGAGAGCCGACACCAGGGAAGAGGGAAAUGGCUCUGACUCGGGACUCUUGGGCCUCUCCCCUGGUCUGCCUUAUUCCUCUCUGUCCCAGAGACUGGGGUUUAGGAGAAGAGCAAGUCUGGGGGGACUUUGGGGUGAGGGGAAACAUCCCAUGUUUCUAGGAAAGUGGAAACGAGAAUUGGGAGUGGGUGGGAACCAUUUUACAGAAUUUAUAUUAAUUUCAUUCUCCUUCACUGUGUUCCCACGAGUGGAAAGGGAGCGAGGGGCAGACUCGGGCUGGGGGACCUCUGAUUCAGCUUCCUUCACAUUUACCCUAACAUGGUUGCUCUGUCUUGGAGUGGAUUUUGUUUUUUGUUUUAAUUUUUUAAAAGAGUACCAGGAUGCAAGGAAGAGGCCACCACUCUCCUGCCCUGAGUCCCCACCUACACUGUAAUUUUGGCACACAGUCUGUAAUUAUGUGGAACAGGAGAGAUUGGAACAGAAAAGACCAGUGCUGGUGCCCCAGAGGUUAGGUUCCUAGGAGGGGCUGAGGCUGUCAGCGGCCAUUCAUUUGCACACACAUGUCCCACGUACACUGGGUUGGCUUCUUACAGUUGCCCUGGGCACUGUGAGUCUGGGGUGUCUGGGCAGCAAUAGGGACCCCUGAGCUCUCUUUGAAUCAGGUCAAAGAAGUGGGAGGCUCCCCCCUGCUGUAGCACCUGUCUUCUCUCAGGUCAGUUGAUGGGAGAGGAGGGUCCUCUUUGAUAAUAGUUUCAGACUGGGGCCCCCCCACAACCAAUGAAGGGGUGGUGUCGUGGGGCUGGGGCUGCAAAGGAGCUGGGCCAUUUGAGCACUGAGUGUGGGAAGUGGGGAAGAGGUUUGCAGAACACUCCUAGAAAGCCAGCUUGGGUGGAAGGCCCAUUUCUACUCCUCAGCUCCCCCUGCCCCCAAAUUCUUCUGCAUUUAAUUUCUCCCUGACUUAAAUAAUAAAAUAAUCAACGUGGAAUUUCAUUAGAGUGUUUUUAGGAGUUACCUAUGUUGUUCCCCAAACCCUAAAUUUAAUCUGAAUAUAAAAAA
rnacentral:lncRNA from 1 species